rnacentral:rRNA from 1 species
CUACGGGAUGCUGCAGUGGGGAAUAUUGGACAAUGGGCGCAAGCCUGAUCCAGCCAUGCCGCGUGGGUGAUGAAGGCCCUAGGGUUGUAAAGCCCUUUCGGCGGGGAAGAUAAUGACGGUACCCGCAGAAGAAGCCCCGGCUAACUCCGUGCCAGCAGCCGCGGUAAUACGAAGGGGGCUAGCGUUGCUCGGAAUCACUGGGCGUAAAGCGCACGUAGGCGGACUCUUAAGUCGGGGGUGAAAUCCUGGAGCUCAACUCCAGAACUGCCUUCGAUACUGGGAGUCUUCGAGUUCGGGAGAGGUGAGUGGAACUGCGAGUGUAGAGGUGAAAUUCGUAGAUAUUCGCAAGAACACCAGUGGCGAAGGCGGCUCACUGGCCCGAUACUGACGCUGAGGUGCGAAAGCGUGGGGAGCAAACAGGAUUAGAUACCCGCGUAGUC